AAUUUUUCAGAGUACCAUUACAUGAAGAUCCAGCUGUAAGUGUCACUCAACUAACCUACAGCACCAAAGUCCAUACCAGGUACUAAUAGCAUUGUUUGUUCUGCAGUGUGUUCCAAGAAGAAAGGAUCCAGUUGAAUGCUGCACAGUUUAAGUUAUUGAUUGUUACAGCUUUAAAGACACUGCAUGGAGAGGUAUUUAUGACUUUCAUUACUCACUUGUCAGAUUUCAACAAUAUCUACUGUAUUAAUUUCCGUAAAAAAUAGGGAUCUAUCACCGGAG